rnacentral:rRNA from 1 species
AGAACGAACGCUGGCGGCAUGCCUAACACAUGCAAGUCGAACGCUUUUGGGGCUUCGGUCCCAAAGGAGUGGCGCACGGGUGAGUAGCGCGUGGGAACCUGCCCUGUUGUGGGGGAUAACCGAGGGAAACUUCGGCUAAUACCGCAUACGCCCGGGGGAAACUCCGGGGAAAGAUUUAUCGCAGCAGGAGGGGCCCGCGUCGGAUUAGGUAGUUGGUGGGGUAACGGCCCACCAAGCCUGUGAUCCGUAGCUGGUCUGAGAGGAUGAUCAGCCACACUGGGACUGAGACACGGCCCAGACUCCUACGGGAGGCAGCAGUGGGGAAUAUUGGACAAUGGGCGCAAGCCUGAUCCAGCAAUGCCGCGUGAGUGAUGAAGGCCUUCGGGUUGUAAAGCUCUUUCGCUACGCGACGAUGAUGACGGUAGCGUGAGAGAAGCCCGGCUAACUCGUGCCAGCAGCCGC